UACCGCGUGUGUGAAGAAGGCCUUAGGGUUGUAAAGCACUUUCAAUUGGGAGGAAAACCUACCGGUCAAUACCCGGUAGCUUGACAUUACCUUUAGAAGAAGCACCGGCUAACUCCGUGCCAGCAGCCGCGGUAAUACGGAGGGUGCGAGCGUUAAUCGGAAUUACUGGGCGUAAAGCGUGCGUAGGCGGUUCGUUAAGUCAGAUGUGAAAGCCCUGGGCUCAACCUGGGAACUGCAUUUGAAACUGGCGGACUAGAGUUUAGUAGAGGGGAGUGGAAUUUCAGGUGUAGCGGUGAAAUGCGUAGAUAUCUGAAGGAACACCAGUGGCGAAGGCGACUCCCUGGACUAGAACUGACGCUGAGGUACGAAAGCGUGGGUAGCAAACAGGAUUAGAUACCCUGGUAGUCCACGCCGUAAACGAUGUCGACUAGCCGUUGGGCCUAUAUACAGGUUUAGUGGCGCAGCUAACGCAUUAAGUCGACCGCCUGGGGAGUACGGCCGCAAGGUUAAAACUCAAAUGAAUUGACGGGGGCCCGCACAAGCGGUGGAGCAUGUGGUUUAAUUCGAUGCAACGCGAAGAACCUUACCUACCCUUGACAUCCAGAGAAUCUGUUAGAG
rnacentral:rRNA from 1 species